CUCUCUUCUACAUGGCACUCCCACAAUCCUUUAUUUCAUAUUAUCUCAAAUGUUUUUUCCUCACGCCUAGCUUCAGCCUUCACAUCUUUUUUCCCACAAAUUUUACACAGCCCACGCUUCAGCCGUUACAUCUCUCAAAGCUUCUCUCCCAAUAUGAGUUUCCAUCAAUCUUGCCACAAAUCUCAAACAAUCCCCUGUGUAAUUGAGAGAUUUAUUCUCUGUCGCGACUUCUCAAACAAUCUCAAACUAAAUUGCGGUGUCGCCGCCGUCCUAAGUGCGGCGUUGCUCCGCCUCAUCUCUGACUCCCUCUCUCCUUCCUUAAUUCCUUCGAUUCUGUUUCCACUUCUUAAACCCAUGAGAAUUCUCCAUUCGAAGCAAUUAAUACAAGAGCCCUAAGAUUUCUUCUUUCCUAAUCCCGUUGCCCUUCUUCUAGACUCCGGCGAAAUAGCCGCCGCGUCGCCGCUGAGCUUGCGGCUCGUCCGGCCUCGAGUCACCGCUGAGCCCUGAAGUUCGUCCACCGCGCCGUCGACCACCACCGACGACUUCUCUAUUUUGAUACCUCCAUUUCCGGAUCCGCCGUGAUUCUUCCUACCCGCCGUGAUUCUUCCUACACAGCCAUGAUUUAUUUGUUGAAUCUUGUAUUUUCAAAUACAAGUGCUGGGUGGAUCGGGGGUGUUAACCUGGAUAAUGGUGGCGCGAAUGACCCGAAGAACCUUAAAAGUCAAGUAGGAAACAUGUAAGUAAAUGAUGGAAUAAUGCUAGGGUCGUGGGCCGCCUAGGGCGAGGGAACUGCCUUUCGAUUAUCUUCCGGAAGAAUUCAAGGCGCUGCCGGAGGCUGGGGAUUUCACCAUAUUCAUGGGCCUCGACAAGUACGAGAACGAGGAGCUCAUCAAAUAUGAAUUUCCUGAAGAUAUUUGUUAAUAUGGCAGGAAAACAGAGGGACUUUGGAGGAGUGGAGAAGGGAGAUGAUCAGGCUACACGGCUUGAUCCUGGGAAAAAAACAUUAGCUCAGAUUUUUCAAGAUGACUCUUUUAGGGAGUUUGAGUUCAAGCAGUAUUUAUUUGCUUGUCAAGCUAAGGUAUGAAAGUUAAUCAUAAACAUGCUUAGGUUUGUUUCGUAAUAUGUGUCAUGUAUGCCAUGAUGCUCUAUUAUAAUACAGGCUUCCCUUCUAUUAUUAUGUUUUUCUACUACAAUAUUUUUACAUUAAGAAUUAUGUUGUGGAUAUCUCAAUGAAUUGGUUGUUCUAUGUGACAUAUUCUCUUUGUUUUUCUCUGAAAAAAAUUAUUGUUGCUUUCAUUAUCCUUUGCUUUAACCUUCACGCAUGCUCCAAAAAGGGUUUCUGUGACUUCAGCUUCUCUUUAAAUUAAAACGUCCAUUUGAGGCUGCAUCAAUGGGUUAUUCGUUCAUAAUCAGCUUCUCAGGGGGGCAUUAGCUUUGCAUGAGAGUAUGUUGCCAUUUUGUAUGCGUGAAGUCUGGGUAAUCACAGCUUGCUUGGCGUUAAUCGGUGCAACUGCUUCUAACUAUGAAGAUGGAUUAGCAGCACCUGAUGCUGAAAAGGAGUUUUACUUGGUCCAAGGGGAGUUAUAUACUUUGUGCCAUACAAAGGUAACAAUGCAAUUUCAUAAGAGUAGUUUUAGAAAACUGAGAGUGUAUAGCAUCUCUCUGUUUCCUUGCCAAUACAAGCACAGAGAAUGUACAUUUACCUGGAAGUUGGUCAUGAAAUGCUGAUAUUUGCUAGCAUACUGUUUUAAUUUGCCUCGAGAUUGGUCUUAAAUUUUUUAAAAUUAAUUCACUUUCAUUUAUUA